rnacentral:rRNA from 1 species
GUGUUCUGUGGAUUCAUAUAUUCACGUGUCAUGCUGCUGGGAGAAAAUCAAGAGGGCAUGGAAGCCAUGGCUUGCCAUCAAUUAAGCCUGGAAGUCGACUACAUAACAUGCCCGUCCUCCGGGUCAGAGAAGCUCCCGGCGAGCUGCAACUGCUGCAUGGCUGGCAAAGGCUGCACGCUCCAUCUAUCCGGUGGGAUCAACCAAACUUGCAAUUAA